rnacentral:tRNA from 1 species
UUCUGUGUGGUUUAAUGGUUAGGACGUGCGCUUGUCAUUCAACAAGCCCUCGGUUUCCGAGGAUCCUUCCUGACUGCGCGAGCUCGGGGUUCAAUUCCCCGCACGGAAG